rnacentral:rRNA from 1 species
UGAGCUGAGGGGUGACGGCGAGCCGAAAGGUGGAAGUGAUUGAGCCCAUGCUAUCAAGAAAAGCCUCUAGGGAGACUUAUUGUAACCGUACCGCAAACCGACACAGGUAGAUGGGUAGAGAAUACCAAGGGGAACGGGAGAAUCUUCGUUAAGGAAUUAGGCAAACUAGAUCCGUAACUUCGGGAAAAGGAUCGCCUGAGUAGAGUGAGAAUAAUUUACUUAUUCGAGCUUGAAAGGGCCGCAGAGAAAUGGCUCUAUCGACUGGUUACCACAACCACAGGUCUGUGCAAAGUCGCAAGACGCAGUAUACAGGCUGACGCCUGCCCAGUGCCGGAAGGUUAAGGGGAGAGGUGCAAGCUUUGAACCGAAGCCCCGGUGAACGGCGGCCGUAACUAUAACGGUCCUAAGGUAGCGAAAUUCCUUGUCGGGUAAGUUCCGACCCGCACGAAAGGCGCAACGAAUGGAGCACUGUCUCAACGAAGAGCCCGGUGAAACUGAAUUAGGAGUGAAGAUGCUUCUUACCCGCAGC